ACUCCUACGGGAGGCAGCAGUGGGGAAUAUUGGACAAUGGGCGCAAGCCUGAUCCAGCAAUGCCGCGUGAGUGAUGAAGGCCUUAGGGUUGUAAAGCUCUUUUACCCGGGAUGAUAAUGACAGUACCGGGAGAAUAAGCCCCGGCUAACUCCGUGCCAGCAGCCGCGGUAAUACGGAGGGGGCUAGCGUUGUUCGGAAUUACUGGGCGUAAAGCGCACGUAGGCGGCUUUGUAAGUUAGAGGUGAAAGCCUGGAGCUCAACUCCAGAACUGCCUUUAAGACUGCAUCGCUUGAAUCCAGGAGAGGUGAGUGGAAUUCCGAGUGUAGAGGUGAAAUUCGUAGAUAUUCGGAAGAACACCAGUGGCGAAGGCGGCUCACUGGACUGGUAUUGACGCUGAGGUGCGAAAGCGUGGGGAGCAAACAGGAUUAGAUACCCUGUAGGCUCAGC
rnacentral:rRNA from 1 species